AUUGAACGCUGGCGGCAGGCUUAACACAUGCAAGUCGAGCGAGCGGCGGACGGGUGAGUAAUGUCUGGGAAACUGCCUGACGGAGGGGGAUAACUACUGGAAACGGUAGCUAAUACCGCAUACCAUCAGAUGUGCCCAGAGUGGAUUAGCUAGUAGGGGGGGGAAUGGCUCACCUAGGCGACGAUCCCUAGCGGGUCUGAGAGGAUGACCAGCCACACUGGAACUGAGACACGGUCCAGACUCCUACGGGAGGCAGCAGUGGGGAAUAUUGCACAAUGGGCGCAAGCCUGAUGCAGCCAUGCCGCGUGUGUGAAGAAGGCCUUCGGGUUGUAAAGCACUGUCAGCGAGGAGGCGUUACUCGCAGAAUAAGCACCGGCUAACUUCGUGCCAGCAGCCGCGGUAAUUC
rnacentral:rRNA from 1 species